UACAAUGUGGUAUAGUGGUGAGCAUAGCUACCUUCCAAGCAAUUGACCUGUGUUCGAUUCCUAGCCAAUGCAC